rnacentral:misc_RNA from 1 species
UUUCCGUGGGUGAACCUGCGGAAGGAUCAUUAUUGUAUAACCGAGGUGCGAGGGCUGUCGCUGACCCGAAAGGUCGUGCACGCCCGAGUGCCCUCACACACAUCCAUCUCACCCCUAUGUGCACCACCGCGUGGGUCCCCCUUUGGCUUGUUCGGAGGGGGGCUUACGUUUUCACACAAACUUUGUAUGCAGUGUAGAAUGUAUUUUUUGUUUUUGCGAUCACGCAAUCAAUACAACUUUCAACAACGGAUCUCUUGGCUCAC